rnacentral:rRNA from 1 species
AAAUAUAUUUAACGGCCGCGGUAUUUUGACCGUGCAAAGGUAGCAUAAUCAUUAGUCUUUUAAUAGGAGGCUGGUAUGAAAGGUUUAACGAAACAUAAACUGUCUUAUUUAUAAAUUUAUAAUUUAACUUUUAAGUCAAAAGGCUUAAAUUUUUUUGGAGGACGAGAAGACCCUAUAGAGCUUUACAUUAUUUUAUUUUUAAUAUUUAUUUGUUAUAUAAUUUAAUAUUAAUUUUAAUAUUGUUUUGUUGGGGUGACAAUAAAUACAUGAUUAACUUUUAUUAUUUAAUUUACAUUAAUUUAUGAAUUUUUGGAUCCAAUAUUAUUGAUCAUUAGAUUAAGUUACCUUAGGGAUAACAGCGUAA